rnacentral:rRNA from 1 species
UGGGGAAUUUUGGACCAUGGGGGAAACCCUGAUCCAGCCAUCCCGCGUGUGCGAUGAAGGCCUUCGGGUUGUAAAGCACUUUUGGCAGGAAAGAAACAUCAUGGGUUAAUACCCCGUGAAACUGACGGUACCUGCAGAAUAAGCACCGGCUAACUACGUGCCAGCAGCCGCGGUAAUACGUAGGGUGCAAGCGUUAAUCGGAAUUACUGGGCGUAAAGCGUGCGCAGGCGGUUCGGAAAGAAAGAUGUGAAAUCCCAGAGCUCAACUUUGGAACUGCAUUUUUAACUACCGGGCUAGAGUGUGUCAGAGGGAGGUGGAAUUCCGCGUGUAGCAGUGAAAUGCGUAGAUAUGCGGAGGAACACCGAUGGCGAAGGCAGCCUCCUGGGAUAACACUGACGCUCAUGAACGAAAGCGUGGGGAGCAAACAGG